AAAACUGUGCAAUGCGCGAAAGCGCGACACGGGAAGCCUGAGUGCUUUAGCGUUUUGCUAAAGCUUUUCUUGAGCCUAAAAAGCUCAGGGAAUAAGGGCUGGGUAAGACGGGUGCCAGCCGCCGCGGUAACACCCGCGGCUCAAGUGGUAGUCACUUUUAUUGAGCCUAAAGCGUUCGUAGCCGGAUCUGUAAAUCUCUAGGAAAAUCCUUCUGCUUAACAGAAGAAAUUCUGGAGAGACUGUAGAUCUAGGGACCGGGUGAGGUUGAAUGUACUUCUGGGGUAGGGGUAAAAUCCUGUAAUCCUGGAAGGACGACCGGUGGCGAAGGCGUUCAACUAGAACGGAUUCGACGGUGAGGAACGAAGGCUAGGGGAGCAA
rnacentral:rRNA from 1 species